CACGUAACGUUUACACUUACACGUACGCGGGCCCUUUCUCGUGCCCCGAUAAAAGCCUCGUUGCGCGCUAAUAAACGCGAGGGGCAACGAUCAGAGCCUCCUCAACGUCCGCCUCGGAUCCAUCGAUGUCGAUGCCGAUUCGACGAGCCCUUAAUGGUAUUUUAUUCUGAGGCAAGAUCUCGAAAGAAGAGCGAAUUCGAGAGAAAUUGUGGAAACUCUGCUCGUGCGAAAUUGGUUGGGAAUUGAAAAAUUGAAGAAUUUCUUGGAGUAAAUUGUUAUUUUAGUUGGUGAUAAGUAAUAAUGGAGAAAUUUGGCGAUCGAGAAUGAUUUUUCAACGAUUCGUUUUGAGCGAAAAUUAUUUUAAUAAAAUUGUGCCUAUUUAUGGGAAAUAACGGAAGCACGAAAUUUCCGUCGAAAAGGAAGUUUAGAGAAAGGAAGAAAAAAUAAAGGCGAAAAAAAAAAAGAAAGAAUAAUGAAUUACGAAGAUAAUUGGUUGCAUCUUCAUUAAAGGAAACCAGAAUGCAUCGUGUCUCGAGACACUUGCGCGCAAACUAAAUUACAUGGUUACAGUGUCGUUAUUAAUAGGCAUUUUGCCUGUAGUGAAGUGUAAUUUAAAUGGGACGAAAUUAAUUUGCGGGAUCUUUUAUUAUUCACUUUCGUGUAGAUAAGAUCGCGAAAGAGCGUUCCUUCUCACGAAUUAUCUCG